UUAGUGGCGGACGGGUGAGUAACGCGUGAGGAACCUGCCUUACAGAGGGGGAUAACGUUUGGAAACGAACGCUAAUACCGCAUGAUAUCUUUUUGCCGCAUGGGAGAAAGAUCAAAGGAGCAAUCCGCUGUAAGAUGGACUCGCGUCCGAUUAGCUAGAUGGCGGGAUAACAGCCCACCAUGGCGACGAUCGGUAGCCGGACUGAGAGGUUGAACGGCCACAUUGGGACUGAGAC
rnacentral:rRNA from 1 species